GGGAUUAGUGGCGAACGGGUGAGUAACACGUGAGUAACCUGCCCUUAACUCUGGGAUAAGCCUGGGAAACUGGGUCUAAUACCGGAUAUGACUCCUCAUCGCAUGGUGGGGGGUGGAAAGCUUUAUUGUGGUUUUGGAUGGACUCGCGGCCUAUCAGCUUGUUGGUGAGGUAAUGGCUCACCAAGGCGACGACGGGUAGCCGGCCUGAGAGGGUGACCGGCCACACUGGGACUGAGACACGGCCCAGACUCCUACGGGAGGCAGCAGUGGGGAAUAUUGCACAAUGGGCGCAAGCCUGAUGCAGCGACGCCGCGUGAGGGAUGACGGCCUUCGGGUUGUAAACCUCUUUCAGUAGGGAAGAAGCGAAAGUGACGGUAC
rnacentral:rRNA from 1 species